AAAGGCCCCGAGGUGUGACCUUCAGUCGGGAAAGUCCUAGCAUGAGUUCUUUUCUCUUCUUUUAACGCUGCUGUAGGCUCGUAAUGGCCCGGAGAACUUGAUACCUGGCUUUCAGACAAAACGGACUGCAAAGGAACACCAACGUCAGCAGUGUGGGAGUGAAAGCAAGGAAGUGAAGCAGCUGGUCGAGAUGAAACGCCGAUCAGAAGCGCUUCUGGAGGAAAUGUGGCGGAGAAACAGUGCGCUGAAGGAAGAACGUACCAGGCAUGGCUUUUUAGUGCUUUAAAGAAGUAUCAUGUUGAGUGGAAGUCAAGCUUUACUGAAAUCUCAUGUAAAGGCACGUACAUAACCGUCUGUGAGCAAAUUCAAGCCUCGCGUUCAAUCUUGCAAAGUGCUUCUGUGCCUGAGCCUAUGGUUUGAAAAAGCUGCAAAAGGCCUUGCAAAAUCAGGCGGCCUGCAGUUCUCCUGGGAGGGAAGGAAGUCUUUUCUUCCUCUGUUCAGGUAAACUUUGGGCCUUCCAAGUGAUGACUGGCACUGCAGUGCUGGCUGUCCUCAGCAAUUCCUGGCCUGCAAUUCAAGCACACUACAGAUGAAGCAAGCCAUGGCUGUGCUGCUUACGUAAGAGUACGUGAAAAAGGCCAACUGUUGCUUUGCUUCACGCUUUCCUCACUGAUUUGCUGUGCAGGUUGAAGAUGCUUCUGGAGGGAGCUCGGGCAAAGGUAAAGGCAUAUGCAGAGAAGGAGAGAGAGAAAGAGUCCCAGCUCAGUUUCCAGGGAGAGAUGAAUAACAGCUGUUCGGAGGUGGCCAGCCAAGUUGGUAAACUAAGAAGAAAGCCGGUCACCAUACAUCAAGAUUUUCAUACGAAAAAGCAGGUGACAAAUGCAGUCUCGAUG